rnacentral:rRNA from 1 species
GAUGAACGCUAGCGGCAGGCCUAAUACAUGCAAGUCGAACGGGAUCCAGAUCAAAGCUUGCUUUGGUCUGGUGAGAGUGGCGCACGGGUGCGUAACGCGUGAGCAACCUACCCUUGUCAGGGGGAUAGCCCGGCGAAAGUCGGAUUAAUACCGCAUGACAUCAUUGAGAGGCAUCUUUCGAUGAUCAAAGAUUUAUCGGACAAGGAUGGGCUCGCGUGACAUUAGCUAGUUGGUAAGGUAACGGCUUACCAAGGCUGCGAUGUCUAGGGGCUCUGAGAGGAGAAUCCCCCACACUGGGACUGAGACACGGACCAGACUCCUACGGGAGGCAGCAGUAAGGAAGAUUGGUCAAUGGACGGAAGUCUGAACCAGCCAUGCCGCGUGCAGGAGGACGGCCCUAUGGGUUGUAAACUGCUUUUAUACGGGAACAAACGUCGGUACGUGUACCGGUCUGAGUGUACCGUAAGAAUAAGGAUCGGCUAACUCCGUG